GAUGAACGCUGGCGGCGUGCCUAAUACAUGCAAGUCGAGCGAACAGACGAGGAGCUUGCUCCUCUGACGUUAGCGGCGGACGGGUGAGUAACACGUGGAUAACCUACCUAUAAGACUGGGAUAACUUCGGGAAACCGGAGCUAAUACCGGAUAAUAUAUUGAACCGCAUGGUUCAAUAGUGAAAGACGGUUUUGCUGUCACUUAUAGAUGGAUCCGCGCCGCAUUAGCUAGUUGGUAAGGUAACGGCUUACCAAGGCAACGAUGCGUAGCCGAACUGAGAGGGUGAUAGGCCACACUGGAACUGAGACACGGUCCUGACUCCUACGGGAGGCAGCAGUAGGGAAUCUUCCGCAAUGGGCGAAAGCCUGACGGAGCAACGCCGCGUGAGUGAUGAAGGUCUUCGGAUCGUAAAACUCUGUUAUUAGGGAAGAACAAAUGUGUAAGUAACUAUGCACGUCUUGACGGUACCUAAUCAGAAAGCCACGGCUAACUACGUG
rnacentral:rRNA from 1 species